AUUGAACGCUGGCGGCAUGCCUUACACAUGCAAGUCGAACGGCAGCACGGGAGCAAUCCUGGUGGCGAGUGGCGAACGGGUGAGUAAUAUAUCGGAACGUGCCCAGUCGUGGGGGAUAACGUAGCGAAAGCUACGCUAAUACCGAAUACGAUCUAUGGAUGAAAGCGGGGGACCGCAAGACCUCGCGCGAUUGGAGCGGCCGAUAUCGGAGUAGGUAGUUGGUGAGGUAAAGGCUCACCAAGCCUACGAUCUGUAGCUGUUCUGAGAGGACGACCAGCCACACUGGGACUGAGACACGGCCCAGACUCCUACGGGAGGCAGCAGUGGGGAAUUUUGGACAAUGGGCGCAAGCCUGAUCCAGCAAUGCCGCGUGCAGGAUGAAGGCCUUCGGGUUGUAAACUGCUUUUGUACGGAGCGAAACGGCUUCCACUAAUACUGGGGGCUAAUGACGGUACCGUAAGAAUAAGCACCGGCUAACUACGUGCCAGCCGCCGCUGUAAAAC
rnacentral:rRNA from 1 species